rnacentral:rRNA from 1 species
AACGAACGCUGGCGGCAGGCUUAACACAUGCAAGUCGAGCGCCCCGCAAGGGGAGCGGCAGACGGGUGAGUAACGCGUGGGAAUCUACCCAUCUCUACGGAAUAACGCAUGGAAACGUGUGCUAAUACCGUAUACGUCCUUCGGGAGAAAGAUUUAUCGGAGAUGGAUGAGCCCGCGUUGGAUUAGCUAGUUGGUGGGGUAAAGGCCUACCAAGGCGACGAUCCAUAGCUGGUCUGAGAGGAUGAUCAGCCACACUGGGACUGAGACACGGCCCAGACUCCUACGGGAGGCAGCAGUGGGGAAUAUUGGACAAUGGGCGCAAGCUUGAUCCAGCCAUGCCGCGUGAGUGAUGAAGGCCCUAGGGUUGUAAAGCUCUUUCACCGGUGAAGAUAAUGACGGUAACCGGAGAAGAAGCCCCGGCUAACUUCGUGCCAGCAGCCGCCGUAA